GAUGAACGCUGGCGGCGUGCCUAAUACAUGCAAGUCGAGCGAACAGACGAGGAGCUUGCUCCUCUGACGUUAGCGGCGGACGGGUGAGUAACACGUGGAUAACCUACCUAUAAGACUGGGAUAACUUCGGGAAACCGGAGCUAAUACCGGAUAAUAUAUUGAACCGCAUGGUUCAAUAGUGAAAGACGGUUUUGCUGUCACUUAUAGAUGGAUCCGCGCCGCAUUAGCUAGUUGGUAAGGUAACGGCUUACCAAGGCAACGAUGCGUAGCCGACCUGAGAGGGUGAUCGGCCACACUGGAACUGAGACACGGUCCAGACUCCUAAGGGAGGCAGCAGUAGGGAAUCUUCCGCAAUGGGCGAAAGCCUGACGGAGCAACGCCGCGUGAGUGAAGAAGGUCUUCGGAUCGUAAAACUCUGUUAUUAGGGAAGAACAAAAGUGGAAGGAAACAUUCCCGUCUUGACGGUACCUAAUCAGAAAGCCACGGCUAACUUCGUG
rnacentral:rRNA from 1 species